UGGAUUGGUCAUCAACAAUACACAAAACAAAUAGCGCUGCACCAAUCAGCAGUGUUGUGCUGUAUGCCGAGCUGAAAGGCAACUACACUCAUUGAACUUUUCGCACGAAUUCAGUUCCUCAAAAAUGGAUGUGACACGAGAAAAUUUCUACACAAUCCUCCCAAAUCUCAAGAGGGCAUUGUCUGAUGCCGAAUUUAUCACCAUUGACUUUGAAUUUACUGGCCUAACUAGUGGGGGGCGGGAUUUGGAACCCAUGCCUUUCGAUACACCUCGGCAGUACUAUGAAAAAUUACACCAAAAAGCGUUAGAUUUCCUACCUCUACAGUUAGGUCUUUGUAUAUUUCAAUAUGAUGCGUCUGAAAACAAAUACACUUAUCAGGCUUAUAAUUUCUUCAUCUUUCCCUUUUCAAAGUUGAAAGGCUUCCCAAACAGCACUUUUCUAUGUCAGAGCUCAUCAGUAGCAUUCCUGUCAUCUUGUGGAUUUGAUUUCAACAAAGCCUUUGGUGCAGGUAUUCCUUUUUUGACUCAGCCGGAGGAAGACAAAUUGAAAUUAAGUAUUAAAGAUCGUCAACAAAAGAUAGUAAGGGAAAACCAAAAAGAUUCCUUUGAUGUUUCUGUUCCUGAAGAUCUCAAAAUUGUAUUUCAGUCCAAUAUGAAAAAAAUUAAAGAAUUUUUAGAGGACACUUCUGAGAAAAAAGCUGAUAGCUUUAUUUUAGACCGUUGCAAUCGGUUCAUGAGAAGACUUCUGUACCAAGAAGUUCCAAAGGAAUUUGGAGAUACGGUCUAUUUAGAAACAUGUGAUGACUCUGACAUGACAAUGAUGAUAAUGAGAGGUGGAGGUGAGGAAUUUAAAAAACUAAGGGAAGAAGAGAAGAAAAAAAAUGAAUGGAAGGAAUUUGAAGAAGCUGUUGGUCUGUCACACCUGAUCAAAGCCAUAGCUGAAUCUGGGAAAUUAAUAGUUGCCCAUAAUUGUCUUUUGGAUAUUUGUCAUUUAGUCCACCGCUUCCGUUACCCCCUUCCCCCAAAUUAUGACGAAUUCAAGGAAAUUGUUCAUCACAUUUUCCCAAGAAUUAUAGAUACAAAAUUUAUGGCAUUUGAACAACAGUUCAAAGAUCUGAUUUCAGCUGGCUCAUUAGGCCAAUUAUUGGACACUGUGUCAACAGCACCCUUUGAGAUGCCAAAAAUUGAGGGAAAUGUGGAAGGACACUCAUACAACAACUUGGUUGAUAAAUCCCAUGAAGGGGGCUAUGAUGCCUUUAUUACUGGACAAUGCUUCCUUGCUAUGUCCCAGUAUCUAGCUAAAGAUCAAGGCAUAAAAUUCAGCAACAUAGGGUCCAUAAAAGAAAUCCUGUCUCAGAUUGAAAACAGGCUGUAUCUAAUGAAAAUUCAAGAUAUCCGAUACUUGUUACUUGGAGGCCCCGAUGUAAAACCACCCCGAAAUCAUGUAUUUCAUUUGAGAUUUCCAAGAGAAUGGAAACAGUAUGACAUUGUAGAAUUGUUCAAACCCUAUGGCCCUGUUUUUAUAUCUUUUAUUGAUGAACGGUCUGCAUAUGUUGCUUUACACAAAAGAGAUCAAGCCAAAUUUGUCAUGAAAUCUUUGACAGGAAAUGACUUUUACAAGCUGACUUCUUUUGGUGCAUAUCAGAAACAAAUUGAAAGGAAAUCUCCUCCUCUGGCUCAACCUGCAUCUCCUAGCCUGGACCUUGUAAGGAAACGGAAAUUAAGGGAUUCCACUGAUGGUGCCUCAGCAUCACCCGAUGUAUUUAAAAAGCACCGCAGUCUUGACCAACGGUAUGUGCCAGCUGAGCUGUUGAGCACUCAAUACCUCCUGGGCAUCAUCAUGAACCGCUACUACUUGGAUUGGCUCCGGCGUCCUGUUCAAAACUUUGCCUCUGAAGCCCUCACUAUCACCAUCAAGAUGCUGUUAGGCUUAGUGCUCAUGUCAGCCAUUUACUUUGUAAUUUGGUUGGAAAGGUUUGGGGUCGGAAAACGGUGAUGCGUUUUAUUGUGAUAAAUGAUAAUUUUAUUUUUUACCAAGUUUUCCUUUCAAUUUUAUAUUUUUAACUGAAAAUGGAACUCUGAUAUAAUAACUGUGAGUAUGGCAAAAACUGGUAAAUUGCAGACUUUCCUGGUGAUGUUUACUUUUUCAAAUUUUGGUUCAUUGGAAAUUUUUGUGGUAUAAUGAGUUAUCAGUGGGUGAUAUGGACUCAUUUUAAUAUUCCAAAUGUUUCAUUGCCUAUGUUAAAUAACUGUUUUCCUCAGAAAUUUUUUUUCUUUUUUUACUGCUGUUUACAGUAGCGCUUGUGGACUUUUAUGUGUAGCUUUUUAUUUCUUCUAACGACAAUGAGAAGUGGAAUUAGUAUGACAGUAAUUACUGUUGGUAGAUAUUAUCAGACUCUCCAACAACGAAUGUGAUGGUACGUGGGCAUGGGCUUCGUACCAUUUGCCUGUCGUACUCCAACAAGAUAAUUUGUGGGCAGCUGUUGAGGAAUUAUCUGUUAAGUCGAACAGUAAGGGCAUUCCCCACUAAAUACAAAUGGCUGUGAAAUAAUUUAUCUAUCUGUUUUAUCAUAUUUUGCUCUUAUAUACAUUUUCUAUUGAUAGUUUAUUAUUCUAAUAUCUGUUGAUCUUUUAAAUAGUUUAAUAAGUCAAAGACAAUGCAUGUUUUCUAUUUUAAUAAGGUCAUAUUUUUAAGAAAAGGUGCACUAAACAUGUUUUCUCAUAAAGUGAAUUUAAUUUUGUAAUUUAGUAGGUACGAGUGUCGCAGCCACAAGUUUAUAGGGAAAAGUUCUUUAUUAUCAUUUUAGUUUUCUUCUAGUAGCCUGUUUUAGAUUCUCUUCUGCUUUGAUGGAGUUUGUAUCUAUCACAAGUAGUAAACGCUAUUUAUCUAAUCUCACUGCGUAGAGAUGUCUCCUAAUAGAUCCUAUUUGAGAAACUUCUGAACCUCUCUACAUGCUGGUGUUAAUUUAACUACUAUGUUCAUUGUCUUUAUCUGUUGUGUGCUCUUCUGUAGUUCAGUGGGUUAUCAACUCAAAGACAUGAGCUGCGUUAGUGGACCACAGCGCGUAUCUUACAGUAUAGUGUUACAUCUUGUUACUAAACUAACACAAGAUAUAAAAUUUUAUUUCUUUAUAAUCUAAUCUUAAUGCUUUUGAAUGUAUACAUUGUGAUGCUAGGGGAAGGAAUGUUUGUUUUCCAACCUUUUAUCUAAAGCCAGACUGAAUGUUGGAACUUUUCAUGUUCUUUAUAGUGCCCUAUCAACUGAAAGGUUUUUUUUCUUGGGCCCUACUAUGAACUAAUACAUUUUCUUUGGGGUUUUCAGACCAAAGCGCAGCAUUGACCCGAUUCCUGAGGAGACCGAAGUGGACAAUAUAGGCAGUAGUGAUCACACCAGCACAGAAAAUCAGAGUCUUGCACCUAAGGAGUUUGCAGAGAGUGAAGUUUGGGGCUAAAUGACUUACGUAUUUCAGUUCUGUGCUAGUUGGAAUAACAGGAGUAUAAGAAUGUUGUUUUU